UAAGACCCUAUGGGUCCCACAAGAGAAUGAUAAUGUUUAUAAGAAUGGUGGAAGAAAUAAUUACAUGGUUGUAGCAUUCCUUUUGGAUAAAUAAGUUGGAAAGGGCCAAAGAAAACGUAGCAGCAAACAUUUCCAAUUUGGAGGAUCCAUUAUAAUAAAACUGUUCUUAGUUUUGAAGUCCAAUUGCUCUAGGCCAAGCAUUUGUUUUGGAGACGCUAUUUCGACAAGAAUUUCAAGUAUGCAAGAGUGAAAAUUAAGGUUUUCCUCCACCUAUUGAGGUAACGACGUGACAUUGGGGGAGGGCAAAUGAAUGAUAACAUAGCUAAACGACAAAGGUAGACAGGGAGGUGAGCUUGGUCCAGACCCUUAGUAGCUGUCAGCUGAUUGAGAGCACUCCAUUGUCCGGAGGUGCUUAUGAUUCUUCUUUUGGUAUAUAUGCAUAUUUUGGGCACGACGGAGUCUUGUUCCGUCUAUAUGUUUAGUAUGUCAGUAGAGGCUCGUAGAUACGCAGUGUGGGUCAGAUGGUCUCACAAGAUGUUAUUAUUAUGUAUAUAUUAUUUUGAUGGCCGAGAGGCAAAUGUAUAUAAGUAUUUAUGUUUCUAUAUAAAAUAUGAUUUUCCUACAAUUCGUGUAUAAAAUUGG